CCCAGUCGUGGGCCACCACGAACACCUGCUCCUGAUCAGGUGAGAUGGUGUCUAGGAGCACCACGAGGUCUCCAACUAUAUGGAAGCAGCUGGAGGGGGAUGCGGGGGUGUCGGUGUCGAUGUCGCCAUACCUUCAGAGGUCGGGGGUGACGACGCGGUAGCCGAGGGCGGAGAUGGUGAGGAUUUGGUGGCCCCAACAGUACCAGAGAUCGAGAAAGUCGUGGAUGAAGAGGAUGAGUGGGCCAUUCCCUUUCUCGGAUCGAUCGCUCUCUCUCUUUCUUUAACUUUCUCUCUAUUUGGGUGUUUCUGUGUCUUUUUAUACAAGGAAGCCUGCAUAAAUAUUUGUGUUUUUUCUACCUGGUGCUAUUAUAUUUGACUCUCGGAUUAGACGUCUUACGAGGCGGUAUCUGAACUUGUUCAUGUUGGGAGUGAGAUUAAAAUGGAGUGAAACAAGGAAUUUAGGCGUAAUUUCAUAUGGACCAAGCAAACUGUGGUCGCUGAAGCUUGUGUUGCCCACAUCCGGCGACAAGCAAACUUAGUUGGUCAUUGCUUAGCUCAUUUUGCUCUCUAUUGUGGAAAUAAUUGUACUUGAUGAAAUGAACUUCCAACCUUAAUUAGUGACCUUUUUAUGGAGGAUUUAUCUUCACCGUGUACUAAUUAGCUUUUUAUAGCUUCAAUGAAAUAUAUGUCGUUGUUUUCUUAAAAAGAAAAAAGAAAAAAAAAACAUUUGGCCUCUUUUCGCUUCCUAGAUAUUAUAAUAGUCCAUUGAUACCAUAAAACACUCUAGAAAGAUUAUCUUUCUAAAAAAAUAAUUAAAAUUAAGGUCGUUUAGUCAAUAAACUGUAGCUAAUAGAUAGAUAGUUUGUAAUACUUUUGUCGAUUUCAAUGAUCGGUUUUUAUAAAAUUUGAUGACUAAACAAUCGCAUAUUUUAUUAAUUUUUUGUUGAGAUAAUUUUUACAUAAUGAUUUUUAUAUUAAUGAUUCUAACCAUGCGCACAAAGUUUCGUGGAUCAGCCACGAACAACUCGUUUUUACUAAUAACCACAAGUAAUUAAUUAAGUGUCAUAUAUCUCAAUGAUAAUUGAGUUUGAAGUAUUAUUCUAGUGUGUUGUUUUUAAGAAUUUAUAUGUAGAAGGCUCUUAAAUUAAUGUGUUUAUUAGUAAUUUUGAUAUUCAUUAUGUUCAAUACAUGUUUUUUUUUUCAGACUAAAUGCAUUUUACACUGCUGAGGUUUAAAAUUAGUUUUGAAAUAAUUCACAAGAUUUCGAUUUUUCUUAUUAGACCUCAACAUUUGACAUUAAAUCAAUUUACAUAUUUUUUCAGACUUGUGAGAAAGUAGGAAAGUGGUCAUUCAGUACUUUAACAAAGUGAUGCAAAAUCGACACCUACGAUAUAGGUUUUUACUUUAGUCAUAGCUUCGUAAACGCUGCGAUAAUGUGUAUCUUGAUAAGUUACUUCAUAGACAUUUGAACGCAUCCACAAUUAUUUUAAAGCAACUGACAUGAUUUUAACUCCUCACAAACCUCUUUAUUUUUCAAGUCAUCGGACUAACUUAAUCAAACAGAAAUAGCUUAUAAAAUUAAACUUAGCCUUCAUAGUUUAAAUUACACACAUCGUCAGUGAUUAUUCAUGACAAAACGAAACUAGUUUAUGGAAGUUGCACGUUGGUAAACACGGAAACAACAAUGUCCAUUACAACGUCACUCAAAGUCGGGGGCAAGAAGUGCAUAACUGAAACACCAGUAGGCACUAGCCAGCGUUGACACAAGGACAUACGGCUAAUGGAAGUUCUUAAUGAAGUCGUGAAUGUGUUUGCUGAUUUCAUCAGGCUUUUCUUGUUGCAGAAAAUGGGCAACUCCUUCCAAUACAACUACUUCUUCCAGAAGCGGCACAAAUUUCUUGAACCCGCCCUUGUGUAUGAAGUCCUGAGCACCUCGAGAGUUGUAAACUAGGUCCUGGUCUCCCACAACAAACUUCACCGGAACUUUCACUUGAGCCCCAGUCCAUGGUGCGGUCAGUUCCCAAUUUCUGCAUUGUUAAAGCGGAUGAAAUUAAUUAAAACAACGAUUACCCUUAGAGUCAUCGACACUCGACAUCAUAAGUUCGAAAAAAAUUACGUACAUGUCCAAAUUCCGGUAGUAGUUUAUGCCGCCAGUGAAGCCCGUCUUGUCAAAUUUGGCGGCGUAGUAGUUCACUUCAUCCUCAGACAACCAACUUGGCAAGACAAUAGGAGUAUUUGUGGGAUGUCCAAAUCCUUUGCCUUUAGGCAGGAAAAGUGGACCAGGAUUCCUAUAUGUUAGAAACUCCUUGAUAACUCUUGUAGUGCCCAUCUGAGCAAACUCAGCUUCUAUCACUCCUGGCUCCUACAAAUAUGAGUAAUUUGUCCAGUCAUAACCAAAAAUUGCAAUUGAUAUCUGCGGGUAUGCGAUUUUAGAAUUACAUACUAAUGUUUUCUUGUUAAACAAACAGUAAAAUUUUUUAGUAGAAUGAUAGGGUUAGCUGGUUAGACUUAGAUAGUUAGUUGUUAUGGGGAGAAGAAUUUGUGGGGAUUAAAUCUGCACCAUAAUGCACACACAUGACUGCUUUCACAAUACGAUAAAACCCAUCUAUAACAACAAUAUUUUUGAAUAAACCCAAUUUGAUUAUUAGUUCAAAUUCGCAGUCUAUCUAGCGACACAAACAUUUAUACAUUUAUUUUUAUUUUUCACUCUUCUUCAUUUUCGACUGUCGGAUUAAAUGAAUUGACGAUCAAUAUACAAAAUUUAACAAAAAUGAAAGAUUAAAAGAAUAUGGAAAUAGCAUUACCCUUUAAAAUAUUUGCUUUUGAAAGGUAGAUAAUGUAAUAAAAAAUAGGGCAAAAGACUGUUUACUACCCUCAAAUUUUAUGGUUUUCAACAUUUAGUACAUCAAUUUUUUUUCAUCCCAGAAUCAUACCUAAAGUAUAAAUUUUCGGACAGUCUCAUACAUCCGUUAGUCAAACUGUUAAGUCUCCCGUUAACUGUGACGUGGCGCCCAUGUGGACAAUGACUGGGCGCCACGUGUCAUUAAAAAUAUAAUAAACUAUUAAAAUAAUUAAUUAAUUAAAAGUUAAAAAUAAAAAUAAAAAUUCCCCAGAUCCCUUUGUCUUCCCCACCCCGACCCCCCUCCUUUCUCCCUCUGCACAUCCAUCCUUCCCUCAUCCCCUCCGCCCCCUUCAUCCCAUCCACCCCCUUCAUCUUCUCCAUCCGAGCAACCCCAUCACCCACCCCUUGCCUACCCGAGCCACCAUUUCUCCAUCCACUCCUCCUUCUGGCACUUGAUGCAACCCCCACCCUCUCUUCUCUCCUCUACAACCACCCACUCUCCCUCCCUCUCUUCUCUCCUCUACAACCUGCACUAACCACCCUCCCUCCCUCCCGUCCUCUCUCUCUGAUUUCCUCACCGGAGCUCCCCCUCCCUACGCCACCCCCAGAGCCAUCUCUGUACGCCCCCUCUCUACAAUUUGAAUUUUUGGAUUUGGAUUGAUUGAUUGACUGAUUGGUUAUUUGAUUGAGAUUUGGUUGGUUGGUUGUUGUUCUUGAAUCUCUGCAGCUAGGUGAGGUUUCUGUGGAAGAGAGGGUCGCCGUGCUUCCAUCCGAGGACAAGGGACUUGUCAGGUUCCUGGACCUCGACGGAGUGGACGGUUGAGUUCUUGGAUGUGCAGAGGGAGUGGACGGCAUUGAGUUCUCAGAGUUGACGAAGGACUAGGCCUAUGCAGAGGGAACGGGAGAAAAAACGAAAGGGAAUCUGGGGAGAAGGGGGAGGGGAAGGAUGGAUGUGUAAAGGGAGAAGGGAUGGGGGGUCGGGGUGGGAAAGACAAUGGGGAUCUGGGGAUUUUUUUUUCUUUUUUUUUUACUUUCAUUUUAUUAAUUAUUUUAAUAGUUUAAUUAUUUUUAAAAUUUUUUAAUGACACGUGGGUGCCACAUCAUCAUUUAACAGCAAAGUUAACAGUUUGACUAACGGAUGUAUGAGACUGUCCCAAAAUUAACACUUUAGGUAUGACUCUGGGAUGAAAAAAAAAUCAUGUACUAAAUGUUGAAAACCACGAAACUUGAGGGUAGUAAACUGUCUUUUGUCCUAAAAAAUAAUAUUGUCACAUCCUAUUUAAUAUAAAAUAACACUUUGGGAUUCAGAUUGAUUACACAGAGAGACAGCUGGUCAUUUUCAAUCUGCCAAAAUUGUGUAGAAAGUAAGCUCUUUAAAAUAAUCGCUUCCAAAGUGAAGAUGUCCAACACACUUUUUAUUUUUCAUAUUUUUCUUAAUUCUGAUUGUGAGAUCAAAUAAUUAAAGAAAAUUACAUGAUAAAAAUUAACCCUUUAAAAAGUGUGUUAAAGAUAAAAAAAAACAUGUGUGAAAUAGCUAUACGAUAUGUUAUGGCAUUGAACAUUUGCAUGACUAUCUAAGUUCGAAUUCUAUCUGUAACUAAUGUUACAUUUAUUCUAACUAAAUUUGUCAGCUGACAAUAAAAAAAAAAAAAACUCAAGGUUAAUUUAAAAUUUAAAAUAUCGAUUAUCCCAAAGUGUAUCUUUUUAGUUUUGGUCUAACUCUUAUAUUUCUCAUUUCAUGAUUUAGAAUUAAUUAAAACUUUUAAGUAAUUACCCUAAUUAAAUCUGUUUCCCUCAAAAUUUAAAAAACAUGCGAAUCUGAUCCUCACCAUUAAAAUCUGUCAAUUCUUAUGUCGAAUAUUUCCUUUAUUCUGGACAUAGGAAAAAGAGUGAGAAGCUUGAUGUUCGAAAUUUAUUGUUCUAAAUUAUUUUGUGAAGCACAAUAUGUACCUCACAACUAAUUUGAGUAAAGAUGAUUAAAUGUUAAUCAAAUUGACAAUUAGUGACUGAUGUGGAAUUUUGUGGGGCUCAAAAAUUCCCCAAAAAGAAAAAAAAAAGUACCGAACCUGAAAUCUGCAGAUGUAGUAGUCAUCGCCAUAAGCAGCUUGAAGCGAUUCGAUGACCUUCCUCUGAGGGUUUCGCGGCAUGAACUGCACGCUCAAGCUGACCAAGGCUUUGACCCGGUCGGGCCGGAGCAGGCAGAGGUACCAAGCGAUGGUGGCGCCCCAGUCGUGGGCCACCACGAACACCUGCUCCUGAUCAGGUGCGAUGGCGUCCAGGAGCGCCACGAGGUCUCCGACCAUGUAGAGGCAGUUGUAGCUGGAAGGGGAGGCGGGGGCGUCGGUAUCGCCGUACCCUCGGAGGUCGGGGCGACAGCGCGGUAGCCGAGGGCGGAGAGGGCGAGGAUUUGGUGGCGCCAGGAGUACCAGAGCUCAGGAAAGCCGUGGACGAAGAGGAUGAGUGGGCCAUUCCCUUUCUCGGCGACGUGCAUGUUGAUGCCGUUCACUUGGACUGUUCGGUGCUCUAUUCCCUGCGACUCCAUGAUCGGCGAUCGCUCUCUCUCUCUCAAACUCACUCUGUUUUUUUUUUUAAUUUUAUUUGGUAAUGGUUAUCAGCGAGUGAAUGGUGUUUGGGUAUUUGUGUCAUUUUAUAGAUGGAAUCCGGCAAUAACGAAUUUUGCGUCGUUUGGAGAUAAACGACCUGAUACGUGUAAUAAUGCAAUUGACUAAAAAAAAAAUAUUUAAUUUCCAAACAAUUGUUCCGCAGUGCGGUGCCGACCUGCUGUCCGCUAAAUCUUUUACUUUAUUUUUUGAUGUGUCAUACUACUUAAUGUUAAUUUAACUUUACCAAAUUUUUUUACAUAAUAUUAUGAACCAUAUUAUUGAUAACCCAUCGAGAGGCUUAACCCACUCUUCCACCCCUUAGUGUCGUUUGUUAAAAAAAAAAAAACCCAGAUGAAAAAUUAAAGAGAGAAUUAGAAUUUCCUGCAUAUUUUUAAUAUGUUUUAGAUUACAUUGAUUUCAUUUUAAAAUUUGAUUAAGGUGUUUUAAACAAUAACCAAGUUAACAUAUUUCUAUUCAUGUAAAUUACACUAGCAUUUGCCUACACAGUUUGUGUGUAUGAAAUGAGAGAUGGAGAGAGAGAGAGAAUGUGGGGGGGGGAGGGGGGGAGAGAGAUUUUUGUUUUCGGUUUUUAUUUUAUUUUUUAUUUUUUAUAAUAUUAUAGGUAUUUUAACAUCGCAUGUAGGUGAAGUUUCAAUAAAAAAUAGUAAAACUUGGACUUGUGAAAUUACAUUAUUACCCAUCUUUUUUUUGUGUGAUAGAAGACUAAUUUGUUAUUUUACGGGACACUUUGGAUGCGGUCCCUAACUAUCAAUAUUCUUUGAUUGAAACCUUGUUAGUUUGUAGUUUUUGAUUGAGGUCCCUGACAUUAAUGUAAUAAUGUAAGUUACUAUAUAUUUUAAAUUAAAAACUAAAAAUUGAAAUUUGUAAUUGUUUAUAUUAAUGAGAUUUUAAAUAAAACCCAUAAUUUAUGGGAUUAAAAAUAAUAAAAUAUAAAUUAUACUCUCUAUUAUAUUGUGUGUGUGUGUGUGUGUGUGUGUACAUAUAUGUAUGGGUACAUUAACCAAAAUUAACAAAAAAAGUUAUUGUACCAAAACAUGGAUACAUUCUCAAAUCAACGAAAAAGAAUGUACCCAUAUAAGUUUAAACAUGGAUUAAAACAUUUGAAUGGAUUUUAUAUUAAAAAAAGGUACAUUUUACAUAUAACAAAUUGAUAUAUUUGAGAAUGGGUACAUUUAAAAUCAAAAAAAUUAAAAAAUUAUAUGAAUUGAUACAUUUAAGAUUAAAAAAUUGAGAAUCUUUAUAUAUAUAUAUAUAUAUAACUAAUAGGUACAAACUUAAUUUAAUUUAAUUUAUUAUUAUUUUGGAAAUGUUUGAAUUGAAAAUUAAUUAGAAGUUUAAUAGAGGUGUGAGUAUUAAACCCUAAAUUAAUUACUAAUUUUUAUAUUAAAAAUUAUAUAAUAAACAUGUAAAUUCAUUAUCACAUUAAUGCUAGGGACUUGAAUCAAAAUUUGAGAACUAAUAAGGUCUUAGUCAAUGAACAGUAAGAACUAGGGAUCGGAUACUAAUUUUUCCGUUAUUUUACCCUCUUUUGGUUGACAAAGAGGGUUUUAUUAAUUAGUAGAGAUUUCAUUAUUGAUACUUUGUAAAUUAAAAAUUAAUUAUUGAAUUCUGAGUAUGUAGAUAUUUUUUUUUACGUGUGGUUUUUUGUAGGGAAACAGUUUUCUGGUUUGCUAAUCAUUUGGUGAUGUCUAUCGUUUUUUGUUUGUUUGAUUUGUUAGAGUUGUAUUUCUUUGGAAGAACUCCCCUUUAUUUAACAGAUUUGGGUUCAUUAUGUAAGCUCCUCCAGAGCAUGUUUUUACCUAGAGCGAUUGCCUCAACAUAUUUUUACAAUCACCAAAUUUAUCAAAAAUGUCAUUAUGCUCUAGAGUCGAAGGCUACAGAACAAGACUCCAGUAUUUUCUUCUCCAUUACAUACCUAAUGAUUUGUACAAGUUUGCACGUACACUCGUUUUUAACCCGUUUACCUUUUUUACUCAUUUCCUUUUUUUUACUAGUCUACAAGUUUGCACGUUUUUUUAUUUUUACCCAUUUAUAAGUACAUACAUUUCCGUAUUUCAAUUUUUUUAAGCUCUCAUACCUUUUUAAUAAUUGAAAUUAUAUUUUAUGAACGAUACUUUCAACUGUUAUUAUGUCACAUUCCCGUCCGGGGUCCACCACAUCCCAGACUCGUUUCACUAUCGUAACACAAUAUUGUCUGCUUUAGGCCCCGACUACAUCCUUACGGUUUUGUUUCUGGGAACUCACACAAAAACUUCCCAGUGGGUCACCCAUCAUGGGAUUGCUAUCGCGCGCUACUCGCUUAACUUCAGAGUUCCGAUGGAACUCGAAGCCAGUGAGCUCCCAAAAGACCUCAUGCUAUGUAAGGAUGGAAAUAUACAUAUAAGGAUCACUCCCCUGGGCGAUGUGGGAUUUUACAAUCCACCCCCCUUAAGGAGCCCGACGACCUCGUCGAUACACCACGGCCAGGGUUAGGCUCUGAUACCAAUCUGUCACAUCCCGGCCCGGGGUCCACUACAUCCCGGGCCUGCUCCACUACCGUAGCAUGAUAUUGUUCGCUUUGGGCCCCGACUACGCCCCCACGGUUUUGUUUCUGGGAACUCAUACAAGAACUUCGUAGUGGGUCACCUAUCAUGGGAUUGCUCUCCCGUGUUACUCGCUUAACUUCGGAGUUUCGAUGGAACCCGAAGCGAGUGAGCUCUCAAAAGGCCUCAUGCUAGGUAGGGAUGGGAAUAUACAUAUAAGGAUAACUCCUCUGGGCGAUGUGGGAUCUUACAAUUAUGUAAUUUGACGAUUAUGCCCUUAUUGGCAAGUGACGUGGACGUAUUCUUAUCACAUUCAUUUUAUUUCUCGCUGUUGCAUUUAAAUUGUACAUGUUAGUACGAGUCAGCGUAGAUUUUAAAGUGUAAAAUAUCUACUUCGGAUAGAUUUCGAUUUCCUUUUACUGUAGGAAAUCUAAAAACCUAUCCAUUGGAUCCCCUUUUUAUCCUAUCCCGUGCAUCCCCUCCUUCAUUAUUCACUCUCACCUAUCCCAUCUUUUCCUCAUUUUUGUCCCCCAAUCAGAAAAGCAACAUCCCAUCACUCAUUCUCACUCUCUCUCUUCUCUCUCCUUCGCCGAGCCCCUUCUUCUUCUCUACAACCAUCACAAAACCACACCAAAACACUCAAACAUCGAAAACAAACUACACAAUUGUGAUCAUCUCAGUCCCACGAUCACAACCAUGUCCUUGAAAUCUGGUGUAGACGAAUUUUGACUCACCAAUUCAGAAGGUCGACUCGGCGAGUUAGACAUAUCGAUUUUCAGGCCAUUCAUGGCUUAGGUAAGCCUUGAGAAACCCUUAGAACCUUCAUUUCACUUCUAUGGGUUGUUAUUGAUCUCUUGUUUAUGUCUUGAACAUAUGGUUUUACCCAGAAAACUUAAGAAGAAGAAGAACUUGAACGUUUUUUAGUCAAGGACCGUGACCAUUUGGUCACUUUCAACCCAUUUUUCCAGUCAACCUUAACCACAUCUGGACUCCUGCUAGGUACAAACUUGUUCUCUACAUUCCUAACUUCAAAAUGGAUUUUGAAUCACUGAGUUUGGUUAAGUAACGAGUUAGAAAUCAACUCUAGAAGUUGGGAAGAAAAUUUCAGUUUCUAGAAAAUUUGCAAUCGUGGUCAUUUGGCCACUUUCAGGCCAAAUUUCUAAACAACUCGAACCAUAUUUGAACUUUUUGUGAAAUGGGAUAAUACAUCACAUUCCUAGCUUUAAUUUGGCUUUUGUAGAAGUGAAUUUGGUUGAGAAUCGAGCUUGUUAUGAGCUCUGAAAGUUGGCCCAAAAAUUUGCAAAACUACAAAUUUUCGCGAGGAAGGUGAGUACAUUGUACUCACGGGUGCGUAGGGCGCGCAUGACGAAUCUGUGCAGCCACUUUAGGUGGCGCGUGACAGCGUGUCCGGCCUCCGGCCUACGUGUGGUCGACACGUGUGUGUUCGUGUUGUCGAGUAAUGUGUGUGCGUUUGUAUCGUUUGUAUACUUGAGUAGUAUGUUUAAGGAAACUAUACUUGUUUUACUGCGAAGGAUUAGUAUUUUCAAAGUUAAAGGUUUUCUUAUAAGCAUUGUUUUGCUAACCUACUCAACUUUGUUUUUGGCCCCACCAGGACCUAGAUAGUUGUACUCUUUGUGGCACUCGAGGAAUCUCGGCAGUUCUGACAUUUCCUUCUAUUUUAGACGUACGAACUUAUCAUUAUUCUGUAAUAAGUGUACUUUGGUUACUUUGACUACUCUUCUGUAGUCUCACUGUUUAUUACGCUUUGAAUAAUUAUAGUGGGUUCAUCCCACGAUUUGCGCAUUCUGUCACUAUUUAGUUCUAAUUAGUUUUAAUUUUAUUCACUUUUUGCAUCACUUACCUUUACGGUUACAUCACCUCAUGGUGAUGGCCAGCAUGCUUCGACCUUUCCAGGUCGGGGUGUGUCAGUUUGGUAUCAAAGUAUAGGUUUAGACAGUCCUGCACUUCCUAGUGUGUUCUAACUCUUGUUUUCUUAUGUCAAAACCAUGCCACCUCUUAGAGAGCCAUGUUCUCCAGCUGAGAAUAACUUUCCAGACUUUGGGCAGUUUGGUGAGGCUAUCGCCAUUGCUAUUUGGUCUUCCAUUCGUCCUACCUCGAGGAAUACUCUGGAUAUUGUAUCUCGCUUGAAGAUUAAUGAUUUCUUUGGUAAUGAGGGACCAGAGAAAUUAGAAAUAUGGUUCGAUCAUGUGGAGAAGACUUUUUGAGUUAUGCACAGGCAGGGUAAUCUUUCUCGGGAGAGAUGGGUCGAGACAGCGACCUGGUUCUUUUGGUUGGGAGUAGAAUCUUGGUAGGAUCAUGAGAGGAGAUCAUUAUCUGAUGAGGAUGCUAUAAAUUGGAAUGUUUUUAACGGUUAUUUUAGACCAGAUUUGUUCCUCCGAAGUAUUUCGAUAGUAAAAAGAAUGAGUUCACAGACUUGAGGCAGGGCAAUAUGUUAGCCACUGAAUAUCAUCGAAGGUUCACAGACUUAUCUUGUUAUUGCUUCAAGACUGCUGCUAAUUCCCGGGAGAUGCUUCGUUUGUUUAAGAGGGGAACUUGCAAGAAAUGGCGUACUAUAGCAACCUCUACUCUCUGUGCUACUUACCAGGAAUUCUUCGAGGUCUUGCUUCAAAUUGAAGAUUUGGUGAAUGCUCCUGACAAUGAGGAUGAGGAGGAUGUUGGCAGAAAUGUCCAGAGGUACAAUAACAAGGGGCGAUCGUCACUUGACCCGAGAAAAGGCUCAUAAUUUUAAAAAGAGUGGAAACAGCUCUGGAUCGUCGAGCGGGGGUUCUAACUCCGGUACACCUCAUAGAGGAGGCAGAUCCGCUGGUUGUUGUUGUUUUCAGAAUCAAAGAAACUCCAGCAGUUUAGGUGUUCAAUUUUGUCGCAGGUGUAACACCUGUCACUAUAGCGAGUGUAAGAGAUGAAACAUAAGAUGUUUCACUUGCGGACAAACAGGGCAUAUGGCCUAUAAUUGUCCUUAGAAUCAGAAGAAUCAGCCUACUAAUCUACCACAUGCAGUCCCCUUACAACAGCUUCCAGCACCUGGUAACUGUCAGCAAAUAGGCCACGGUGGAGCUUUCCACUACCAAGGGGGCGUAGCUCCGAAUCAGGGAGGACCAUACCAGUAUACGCCUAAGGUUCCCUACUAUCAAGGAGGCUAUUAGCAGACUCAGGGAGGUUAUCCACAGUUCUAGGAAGAUUAUACGCCGUAUCAAAGCGGCGGAGCAUUGAUGUAUACUGAAGGGCAGUAUCAGAACCUAGACGUGGCGUUUAGCAGUGAAGGUUCAGGCAGACAGGCAAAUCUACCCUAGCAGGGCUGAGGUAAUCAGGGUCGAGGUAAUCAAACUCAAGCAAACAAGGGUCGUGGAGGCAGACAACAAGUUCAGGAAAGAGUUAACAACAUCACCCUUUAGGAUGCUCGGGCUAAUCCGGACUUGAUCAUGGGUACGUUGAAUGUUCUAGGCCAUUUUGCUAAAGUUUUAAUUGAUUUUGGUGCUACACAUUCAGUUAUUUCCCAUAAGUUUUCUCAAAAGACUCAACCACAUCCUACUUCACUCGACUACGAGUUGGAGUUCUCUAUGCCUAGAGGUGAAAUCUGUUAUGUUAGUUGGGAAUAUCAAGGAUGUCCUAUCCUUGUCGAAGAUGUAGUCAUGCCGGCUAAUCUUGUUCCUUUGGAUAUCGUUGACUUUGACGUUAUCUUAGGCAUGGAUUGGUUACACUACAAUCGUGCCAGGCUGGACUGUUAUGAGAAAGUUGUUACUUUUCACCGACCAGGUAUACCUACUGUCACAUUUAUUGGUAAGCGUGGUGGUCUAAAACAUGGAGUUAUCACUGCCAUGAGGGCGAGACGAUUGUUGAAUAAAGGUUGUCAAGGUUACUUAGCUCAUGUCAUGCUAGCGGAGACUACUACAUCUGUGGAAGACGUCAGAGUAUUUAGGCACUUUUCCAAUGUUUUUCCCGAGGAAUUACCUGGCUUACCCCCAAAUCAUAAAGUAGAGUUCACCAUCGAUCUACUUCCAGGUUCUAAUCUUAUUUUCCUUACACCUUAUCGUAUGGCUCCUGCAGAGUUAAGGGAACUUAAAACUCAGUUGCAAGAGUUGGUUGAUAAGGGUUUCAUUCAGCCAAGCACUUCUCUGUGGGGAGCUCCAGUUCUGUUUGUAAGGAAGAAAGAUGAAACUUUGAGGUUAUGCAUCGAUUACAAGUAGUUGAAUCGGGUGACGAUUAAAAACCAUUAUCCGUUACCUCGUAUUGAUGACCUAUUUGAUCAGCUUAAAGGUGCUUGUGUGUUCUCGAUAAUUGAUUUGAGGUCUGGUUACUACCAAUUGAAGAUCAUAAGCGAUGACGUUCCAAAGACAGCUUUCAGAACUCGAUAUAGUCAUUACGAAUUUCUCGUGAUGCCAUUUGGAUUGAUUAAUGCACCAGCAGCUUUCAUGAACCUGAUGAAUCGAGUAUUCCAUCCAUACCUCGACAUGUUCGUCAUUGUUUUCAUAGAUGACAUUUUAGUGUAUUCGAAGAAUGAAACUGAUCAUGCCAGGCAUUUGCGUUUAGUUCUAAAGACGAUAAGGGCAAAUCGGUUGUAUGUUAAGUUCAGCAAAUGUCAAUUUUGGCUGGAUCAAGUGUCAUUUUCUACGAUAUAGGUUUCUACUUUAGUCAUAGCUUCGUAAACGCUGCGAUAGUGUGUAUCUUGAUAAGUUACUUCAUAGACAUUGAACGCAUCCACAAUUAUUUUAAAGCAACUGACAUGAUUUUAACUCCUCACAAACCUCUUUAUUUUUCAAGUCAUCGGACUAACUUAAUCAAACAGAAAUAGCUUAUAAAAUUAAACUUAGCCUUCAUAGUUUAAAUUACACACAUCGUCAGUGAUUAUUCAUGACAAAACGAAACUAGUUUAUGGAAGUUGCACGUUGGUAAACAAGGAAACAACAAUGUCCAUUACAACGUCACUCAAAGUCGGGGGCAAGAAGUGCAUAACUGAAACACCAGUAGGCACUAGCCAGCGUUGACACAAGGACAUACGGCUAAUGGAAUUUCCUAAUGAAGUCGUGAAUGUGUUUGCUGAUUUCAUCAGGCUUUUCUUGUUGCAGAAAAUGGGCAACUCCUUCCAAUACAACUACUUCUUCCAGAAGCGGCACAAAUUUCUUGAACCCGCCUUUGUGUAUGAAGUCCUGAGCACCUAAAGAGUUGUAAACUAGGUCCUGGUCUCCCACAACAAACUUCACCGGAACUUUCACUUGAGCCCCAGUCCAUGGUGCAGUCAGUUCCCAAUUUCUGCAUUGUUAAAGCGAAUGAAGUUAAUUAAAACAAUGAUUACCUUUAGAGUCAUCGACACUCGACAACAUAAGUUCGAAAAAAAUUACGUACAUGUCCAAAUUCCGGUAGUAGUUUAUGCCGCCAGUGAAGCCCGUCUUGUCAAAUUUGGCGACGUAGUAGUUCACUUCAUCCUCAGACAACCAACUUGGCAAGACAAUAGGAGUAUCUGUGGGAUGUCCAAAUCCUUUGCCUUUAGGCAGGAAAAGUGGACCAGGAUUCCUAUAUGUUAGAAACUCCUUGAUAACUCUUGUAGUGCCCAUCUGAGCAAACUCAGCUUCUAUCACUCCUGGCUCCUACAAAUAUGAGUAAUUUGUCCAGUCAUAACCAAAAAUUGCAAUUGAUAUAUGCGGGUAUGCGAUUUCAGAAUUACAUACUAAUGUUUUCUUGUUAAACAAACAGUAAUAUUUUUUAGUAGAACGAUAGGGUUAGCAGGUUAGACUUAGAUAGUUUGUUGUUAUGGAGAGAAGAAUCAGUGAAGAUCAAAUCUGCACCAUAAUGCACACACAUGACUGCUUUCACAAUAUGAUAAAACCCAUCUACAACAACAAUAUUUUCGAAUAAACCCAAUUUGAUUAUUAGUUCAAAUUCGCAGUCUAUCUAGCGACAUAAAUAUUCAUAGCAACUUCAACCUAAAAGAAAAAAAUCACAAUCAAUUAUAUUACAAUAAAAUGUUCAUACACCUAUUUUUAUUUUCACACUUUUUAUUUUCGACCGUCGAAUUAAAUGAAUUAAAAAAAAUAAGAGAUUAAAAAAAAUGUGUAAAUAACACUACUCUUUAAAAUAUUUGCUUUUGAAAGGUAGAAAAUGAAAUAAAAAAUAAUAUUAUCACAUCCUAUUAUAUAUAAAAUAAGUGAUUCAGAUUGAUUACACAGAGAGACAGAUGGCGUUUUCAAUCUUCCAAGUUGGCGUAGAAACAAAGUAAGCUCUUUAAAAGAAUCGCUUCCAAAGUGAAGAUGUCCACACACUUUUUAUUUGUCAUAUUUUUUUUUUAAUUCUGAUUGUCAGAUCAAAUAAUUAAAGAAAAAUUACAUGACAAAGCCCUCGCUAUGGCGGGGGUCGGAGGAAAGCUUUUCCUUUCGUUGUCUGUUUCUUAGUUUUUAAGUUAAAUUUCUCCCCAGUUCUUCCUGAUUCAACCAAAAUGUCUCUACCCAAGGCCUGUCUUCCCCAACUUCUUUCAGUUCGAUCUGCAGUCAGAUCUCAACUCAUCGGCUCUGGUGUUUUCAACACCACCUCCCUCUCUUUGUCUGCCUUCGUUGGCACUGUCGUUCGAGGUGUUCCCUCGGACUUCUUCCACUUUCUGGCUGAGAUCGGGACGGCUUUCGUGGCUGGGUUCUGCGGAGUUGCUCGAUUGGCUUUGGCGUUGGCUGGCGGAUUGGUUCUGGGUUGAUCGGGAUAAUUUUGAAGGCGGUGGAUGCUGGGGUCAAGAAUUGUCUUUUGCUUUGUCUCUAGUGUUGGGCUCUUUUGUUGAGCUUUGUUCGGUUUGUUGGGAGGUACAUUUGUGUGUAUUGUUCUUUUUGUAUGUGGGCCUCGCUUUGUAAUCUAGUGUAUGAAAUAAAAUUGUCCCCUUUCUUCGGAAAGGUUUUCCAAAAAAAAAAAAAAAAAAAAAAAAAAAAAAAAAAUUAACCCUUUAAAAAGUGUGUUAAAGAUUAAAAAAAAAAACAUGUGUGAAAUAGCUAUCCGAUAUGUUAUGGCUUGUAUUUAGAGAUUAAAUCAAUAAGCACAAGCAAACCUCAAGAUUCACAAGGGGCCUUUUAUUACAGUAAUAGAAAUAAAUUGAACAUUUGCAUGAUUGCGGGAGUUCGAAUUCCGUCGAUAACUAAUCUAACAUUUAUUCUAAUUAAAUCUGUCAGUUGACUAUAAAAUAAAAAAAACUCAAGGUUAAUUUAAAAUUUAAAAUAUCGAUUAUCCCAAAGUGUAUCUUUUUAGUUUUGGUCUAACUCUUAUAUUUCUCAUUUCAUGAUUUAGAAUUAAUUAAAACUUUUAAGUAAUUACCCUAAUUAAAUCUGUUUCCCUCUAAAUUUUAAAAACAUGCGAAUAUGUUCCUCACCAUUAAAAUCUGUCAAUUCUUAUGUCGAUUAUUUCCUUUAUUCUGGACAUAGAAAAAAGAGUGAGAAGCUUGAUGUUCGAAAUUUAUUGUUCUAAAUUAUUUUGUGAAGCACAAUAUGUACCUCACAACUAAUUUGAGUAAAGAUGAUUAAAUGUUAAUCAAAUUGACAAUUAGUGACUGAUGUGGAAUUUUGUGGGGCUCAAAAAUUCCCCAAAAAGAAAAAAAAAAAAAAAGUACCGAACCUGAAAUCUGCAGAUGUAGUAGUCAUCGCCAUAAGCAGCUUGAAGCGAUUCGAUGACCUUCCUCUGAGGGUUUCGCGGCAUGAACUGCACGCUCAAGCUGACCAAGGCUUUGACCCGGUCGGGCCGGAACAGGCAGAGGUACCAAGCGAUGAUGGCCCCCCAGUCGUGGGCCACCACGAACACCUGCUCCUGAUCAGGUGCGAUGGCGUCCAGGAGCGCCACGAGGUCUCCGACCACGUGGAGGCAGUUGUAGCUGGAAGGGGAGGCGGGGGCGUCGGUAUCGCCGUACCCUCGGAGGUCGGGGGCGACAGCGCGGUAGCCGAGGGCGGAGAGGGCGAGGAUUUGGUGGCGCCAGGAGUACCAGAGCUCAGGAAAGCCGUGGACGAAGAGGAUGAGUGGGCCAUUCCCUUUCUCGGCGACGUGCAUGUUGAUGCCGUUCACUGGGACUGUUCGGUGCUCUAUUCCCUGCGACUCCAUGAUCGGCGAUCGCUCUCUCUCUCUCUCUCUCUCUCUCUCUCU
rnacentral:lncRNA from 1 species